GAUGAACGCUAGCGGCAGGCUUAAUACAUGCAAGUUGUGGGGCAGCAUGAAUGUAGCAAUACAUUUGAUGGCGACCGGCAAACGGGUGCGGAACACGUACACAACCUUCCUAUAAGUGGGGAAUAGCCCAGAGAGAUUUGGAUUAAUACCCCGUAACAUAACGAUGUGGCAUCACAUUGUUAUUAUAGCUUCGGCGCUUAUUGAUGGGUGUGCGGCUGAUUAGAUAGUUGGCGGGGUAACGGCCCACCAAGUCUACGAUCAGUAGCGGAUGUGAGAGGAUGAGCAGCCAAACGGGCACUGAGACACGGGCCCGACUCCUACGGGAGGCAGCAGUAAGGAAUAUUUGUCAAUGGACGCAAGUCUGAACCAGCCAUGCCGCGUGAAGGAUUAAGGUCCUCUGGAUUGUAAACUUCUUUUAUCUGGGACGAAAAAAGGCUUUUCUAAGUCACUUGACGGUACCUGGAGAAUAAGCUCCGGCUAACUCCGUGCCAGCCGCCGCCGUAACAC
rnacentral:rRNA from 1 species